rnacentral:rRNA from 1 species
UCCUCAUGGGGGAACCUGAUGGAUCGACGCCGCGUGGAGGACGAAGGUCUUCGGAUUGUAAACUCCUGUCAUGCGGGAACAAGAAAGUGAUAGUACUGCAAGAGGAAGAGACGGCUAACUCUGUGCCAGCAGCCGCGGUAAUACAGAGGUCUCGAGCGUUGUUCGGAUUCAUUGGGCGUAAAGGGUGCGUAGGUGGUGUGGAAAGUUGAGUGUGAAAUCCUAGGGCUUAACCUUAGAACUGCACUCAAAACCCCCAUACUAGAGGAAUGUAGAGGAGAGUGGAAUUCACGGUGUAGCAGUGAAAUGCGUAGAUAUCGUGAGGAAGACCAGUUGCGAAAGCGACUCUCUGGGCAUUUCCUGACACUGGGGCACGAAGGCUAGGGGAGCAAACGGGAUUAGAUACCCCGGUAGUCCUAGCAGUAAACGGUGCACGUUUGGUGUGGGCGGGUUCAGACCCCGUCCGUGCCGGAGCUAACGCGUUAAACGUGCCGCCUGGGAAGUACGGUCGCAAGAUUAAAACUCAAAGAAAUUGACGGGGGCCCGCACAAGCGGUGGAGCAUGUGGUUUAAUUCGAUGCAACGCGAAGAACCUUACCUAGCCUUGACAUGCAGAUAGUAGGAGCCUGAAAGGGUGACGAGGUAGCAAUACCAGUUUGCACAGGUGCUGCAUGGCUGUCGUCAGCUCGUGUCGUGAGAUGUCGGGUCAAGUCCGGAAAGAGCGGAACCCCUAGUUCUGUUGGCACCCAUUCGAAAGGGUGGAGCCCUCUGGACGGACUGGGUCGGUUCAAGGGGACGGAACGUGGGAUGACGUCAAGUCAGA